GGGAACUUAGUCUAAUGGUAUGAUUCUCGUUUAGGGUACGAGAGGUUUCGAGUUCGAUUCUCGAAGUUCCCC
rnacentral:tRNA from 1 species